GCAGUGCAAACAACCCCGUUUCUCACCGACCACCGUUAGUCAAGCGUGACUGCGCUGCUGGUUUUACUGCUAUAUCGGAAAACCCCUCCAGUAGAUAACUGAACACGUGCAAAGGUUUUUUGAAAUAACAGGAUGACCAACCUAGUGAAUUUGGAGACUAACCAAGAUAGCUAUUGAAUCUGCGAUGUAGCUAAGCGGGUCUCUUAAUGGAAGGGCAUGCUCGAGGAGCAAAUAGGCAGGACUGAUCGGUCUAUGAGCGAAAUCUCAGAAGAAUCAAUUCGGUCAGAUCAACAGAGAUGCAUGGAAAUGCUGAAUGAUUCAAUCGCAAGAAAGGAGACAAGUACUAUAUCAUUAUCAUAUACAAAUAUGAGAAUGUAUUUAAACCUCACACAAAGGUGCCUAAUUUCUCUAAGAGUUUGAUAGGUUUGCUCAAGCGUACACAUUGUAAAUACAA